GAAGGUCUGGCCCUUCGGAGCCGCCCUGCCGGGGGGAGGCUUCAAACCACCUCAAGCUGCGUUGGCUGAAAACCGUCGUGGUGAGCGUUGAGGAGAAGGCGCGCCGCUGAGCGCGUCAGGU
rnacentral:ncRNA from 1 species